UUCAGCAGUCCUGAUUCCUGAUGUUUUCUGGGUGAGCAUGGUUCUCUCCUUUUUCAAGUUAACAACUUAUUUUAUAUUACUUUUGCUGAGAUUGAUUGUGAGUUGCAAGUUUCGCAAUGCAAUUUUUGUAUUAUGAAUCCUUGAUGGACUAUGGUGAAAAUUUACUUUUCUUUGUAGAAAAAACAUCAAAGAAUUAUACUACUAUACAAAUCAGGUUUGUUAAUAUUGAUACUGCUGAUGUUAAUAAUCACUUGGCUAUUGUGAAAUAUGUUGAGGAUAUUUACAAAUUUUAUAAGCUCACAAAGGUCUGGUGAAUAUCAGAUGUCUCUGUUUCAAUGCUGGGGUGAUUUUACUGUUAUAGUGGAUACGGUGAGUUACUUUAAUGUGACAAACAAUAGUUUUGUGAUUUUAUUGUGUAGUGUAUAAAAUUCAUGUUAUUUUGAUAAUUUGGCUGAUUCAGGAUGAACGUUGAUUGUAUUAUUACAUGGAUUCACAACCACACAUCAACGCCAGGGUCAAAGCUAGCAAUUUUUCUGGAAGGUUGAACUACUUGAAAAACAUGAAAGCUACAUUACUUCACACAGUUGCGAGAUGAAGAGAAACUUUUUAGGAUCUAUUGUCAAUAUUUUUAGCAUUGUUAGUACUGUAACUCUCAACUAAAAGCUGGACAAAGUUACAAUUUUCAUCAAAAAUCGGUAAUGGCAGAGGGGCGUUUCUUUGGUUAUUGCUCAAAACUACAACUGCUAGUGAUUAUUUCUCAUGUAGUGAUUUUUUUAUGGAAUCAAUGUGUUAUCAAAACAUUUACGUUUAGUUAUGUUAUAACACAAACAGUUGAGGAUUGCACAACCUUACUACUAAAUGUUCAGAAAUAGACUUCUUUCUUGAAGGAGGAUUGCCAUUCAAUUGACGACUUGUGAUCAUCAAUUGCGAGAAGCUGGUGAGUGGCCGAAACGAUUGGCAUCUCAAAGAGUUUAUAUGUGAUCUAGCAGAACACAAUAGAUUGGGAGGGGGUGGAGACAGGUUUUUCUGAUUAAAUUUGGCACUAGUACUCGAUUUCUUGAGUUUUUGCUUCAGUAAAAG
rnacentral:lncRNA from 1 species